ACGAUGAUCAGGAGCUUGCUCCUGUGAUUAGUGGCGAACGGGUGAGUAACACGUGAGUAACCUGCCCCUGACUCUGGGAUAAGCGUUGGAAACGACGUCUAAUACUGGAUACGACUGCCGGCCGCAUGGUCUGGUGGUGGAAAGAUUUUUUGGUUGGGGAUGGACUCGCGGCCUAUCAGCUUGUUGGUGAGGUAAUGGCUCACCAAGGCGACGACGGGUAGCCGGCCUGAGAGGGUGACCGGCCACACUGGGACUGAGACACGGCCCAGACUCCUACGGGAGGCAGCAGUGGGGAAUAUUGCACAAUGGGCGAAAGCCUGAUGCAGCAACGCCGCGUGAGGGAUGACGGCCUUCGGGUUGUAAACCUCUUUUAGUAGGGAAGAAGCGAAAGUGACGGUACCUGCAGAAAAAGCACCGGCUAACUACGUGCCAGCAGCCGCGGUAAUACGUAGGGUGCAAGCGUUGUCCGGAAUUAUUGGGCGUAAAGAGCUCGUAGGCGGUUUGUCGCGUCUGCUGUGAAAUCCCGAGGCUCAACCUCGGGCUUGCAGUGGGUACGGGCAGACUAGAGUGCGGUAGGGGAGAUUGGAAUUCCUGGUGUAGCGGUGGAAUGCGCAGAUAUCAGGAGGAACACCGAUGGCGAAGGCAGAUCUCUGGGCCGUAACUGACGCUGAGGAGCGAAAGCGUGGGGAGCGAACAGGAUUAGAUACCCUGGUAGUCCACGCCGUAAACGUUGGGCGCUAGAUGUAGGGACCUUUCCACGGUUUCUGUGUCGUAGCUAACGCAUUAAGCGCCCCGCCUGGGGAGUACGGCCGCAAGGCUAAAACUCAAAGGAAUUGACGGGGGCCCGCACAAGCGGCGGAGCAUGCGGAUUAAUUCGAUGCAACGCGAAGAACCUUACCAAGGCUUGACAUACACCGGAAACGGCCAGAGAUGGUCGCCCCCUUGUGGUCGGUGUACAGGUGGUGCAUGGUUGUCGUCAGCUCGUGUCGUGAGAUGUUGGGUUAAGUCCCGCAACGAGCGCAACCCUCGUUCUAUGUUGCCAGCGCGUUAUGGCGGGGACUCAUAGGAGACUGCCGGGGUCAACUCGGAGGAAGGUGGGGAUGACGUCAAAUCAUCAUGCCCCUUAUGUCUUGGGCUUCACGCAUGCUACAAUGGCCGGUACAAAGGGCUGCGAUACCGUAAGGUGGAGCGAAUCCCAAAAAGCCGGUCUCAGUUCGGAUUGA
rnacentral:rRNA from 1 species